rnacentral:misc_RNA from 1 species
GAUGAAGAACGCAGUGAAAUGCGAUACGUAAUGUGAAUUGCAGAAUUCAGUGAAUCAUCGAGUCUUUGAACGCACAUUGCGCCCCCUGGUAUUCCGGGGGGCAUGCCUGUCCGAGCGUCAUUGCUGCCCUCAAGCACGGCUUGUGUGUUGGGCCUCCGUCCUCCUCCCGGGGGACGGGCCCGAAAGGCAGCGGCGGCACCGCGUCCGGUCCUCGAGCGUAUGGGGCUUCGUCACCCGCUCUUGUAGGCCCGGCCGGCGCUUGCCGACACAUCUAUCUUUUUUCCAGGUUGACCUCGGAUCAGGUAGGGAUACCCGCUGAACUUAAGCAUAUCAAUAAGCGGAGGA